ensembl:lncRNA
UUAUCCAUCGUGAUAUUUUAAACAGUCCAUAAAGCACUCAGGACGGCCCUGACAGAGAGAGGGCCGUAGUAGGGUGCUUCCAUAUCGGGCAUUAAUAUGAGAAUGACCCUUAAAUGCAUUUAGGACCAUAUUUUAAUUUUUGGGUUCCCAGGUGCACGUUUUCAAUCACCAGUUGCACAACAAUCAGUAUCCAUCGUGAUAUUUUAAACAGUCCAUAAAGCACUCAGGGCCCUGACAGAGAGAGGGCCGUAGGGUGCUUCCAUAUCGGGCAUUAAUAUGAGAAUGACCCUUAAAUGCAUUUAGGACCAUAUUUUAAUUUUUGGGUUCCCAGGUGCACGUUUUCAAUCACCAGUUGCACAACAAUCAACAAUCAGUAUCCAUCGUGAUAUUUUAAACAGUCCAUAAAGCACUCAGGACGGCCCUGACAGAGAGAGGGCCGUAGUAGGGUGCUUCCAUAUCGGGCAUUAAUAUGAGAAUGACCCUUAAAUGCAUUUAGGACCAUAUUUUAAUUUUUGGGUUCCCAGGUGCACGUUUUCAAUCACCAGGUGCACGGAUGUAUAGGGUCCCCCAUGGAUAAAAGGUCCGUAUUAGGGUGCUCCCAUAGCGGGCAUGACUUUUUGAACACCGCUCAUGUAAUUUUAGGUUCCCAGGUGCACGUUUUCAAUCACCAGUUGCACGAAAAAAAUAAAAUAUUAAACCUUCCAUAAAUCACUCAGGGCGGGCCCCCAUUGAUAGAGGGCCGUAGUAGGGUGCUUCCAUAGCGGGCAUGGGUAUCUGGAACACCGUUAAGUCAUUUAGAACCGUAUUUUAACUUUUGGGUUACCAGGUGCCUAUUUUCAAUCACCAGGUGCACGGCUGUGAAAAGUGGGGACUCUGUCAUUUUUUCGACCGAUUUCUGAAAUUUUCAAAAAAUGAUUAAAAAUACUUCCCGAAGGGCCAGAGGUCCCAAAUUUCGUGUCAUACCCUCUCUCGUGAUGGGCAACAAUUCCAGCAUAUAAAAAAGAUUUCGCAUCCACAGGCACCUAUGUUUCUGGUAGAAUUCACUUUUUCCCAAAAACGUAAAUCACGAUUUUCUAUUAAAAUGUUUUAUACAAAAACGUUUUUAAUUAAAUGGAAAUGCUCGUCUAUUUGUGCCCUUUCGUGCAAAAAACGCCCCAUCCAGAUUGGAGGUGUACUUUUUGAUUUAUUCACGUUUUGGCAAAAACGGAAUUUGACCCCCAAUGGCUGGGCGCACAUAAACC